UACGAACCGUCCAAACGUUAUUCGGAAUCACUGGGCUUAAAGGGUGCGUAGGCGGCUCAGAAAGUAGGGUGUGAAAUACCUCGGCUCAACCGAGGAAUUGCGCCCUAAACUACUGGGCUCGAGGAAGACAGAGGUAAGCGGAACUUACGGUGGAGCGGUGAAAUGCGUUGAUAUCGUAAGGAACACCAGGAGCGAAAGCGGCUUACUGGGUCUUUUCUGACGCUGAGGCACGAAAGCUAGGGGAGCGAACGGG
rnacentral:rRNA from 1 species